rnacentral:rRNA from 1 species
GCCCCGGUAAACGGCGGCCGUAACUAUAACGGUCCUAAGGUAGCGAAAUUCCUUGUCGGGUAAGUUCCGACCUGCACGAAUGGCGUAAUGAUGGCCAGGCUGUCUCCACCCGAGACUCAGUGAAAUUGAACUCGCUGUGAAGAUGCAGUGUACCCGCGGCAAGACGGAAAGACCCCGUGAACCUUUACUAUAGCUUGACACUGAACAUUGAGCCUUGAUGUGUAGGAUAGGUGGGAGGCUUUGAAGUGUGGACGCCAGUCUGCAUGGAGCCGACCUUGAAAUACCACCCUUUAAUGUUUGAUGUUCUAACGUUGGCCCGUAAUCCGGGUUGCGGACAGUGUCUGGUGGGUAGUUUGACUGGGGCGGUCUCCUCCUAAAGAGUAACGGAGGAGCACGAAGGUUGGCUAAUCCUGGUCGGACAUCAGGAGGUUAGUGCAAUGGCAUAAGCCAGCUUGACUGCGAGCGUGACGGCGCGAGCAGGUGCGAAAGCAGGUCAUAGUGAUCCGGUGGUUCUGAAUGGAAGGGCCAUCGCUCAACGGAUAAAAGGUACUCCGGGGAUAACAGGCUGAUACCGCCCAAGAGUUCAUAUCGACGGCGGUGUUUGGCACCUCGAUGUCGGCUCAUCACAUCCUGGGGCUGAA